GAUGAAGAACGUAGCGAAAUGUGAUAAGUAAUGUGAAUUGCAGAAUUCAGUGAAUCAUCGAAUCUUUGAACGCACAUUGCGCCCGCCAGUAUUCUGGCGGGCAUGCCUGUUCGAGCGUCAUUACAACCCUCAGGCCCCCGGGCCUGGCGUUGGGGAUCGGCGGAGCCCCCCGUGGGCACACGCCGUCCCCCAAAUACAGUGGCGGUCCCGCCGCAGCUUCCAUCGCGUAGUAGCUAACACCUCGCGACUGGAGAGCGGCGCGGCCACGCCGUAAAACACCCAACUCUUCUGAAGUUGACCUCGAAUCAGGUAGGAAUACCCGCUGAACUUAAGCAUAUCAAUAAGCGGAGGA
rnacentral:misc_RNA from 1 species